UUGAUAUCUUAGUGUGGCUGUGCUGUGGGGCCCACACACCCCACCAUCCGUUGCAUCCUGCCACCGUUUCCCGUUCUCCGUCCCCUUUCAUUGCGUUUUUCCGUUCCACGUUCUGUUUUACUUCCCGUUUCAAAUUUCGUUGCAUGUAACCCCCUGAAAAAUCUUAAUUAUGCAUCUACCGUUGGAAGAUUUCAAUUAUCCCGCGCUUUAUCAAAACAGCAAGAAAAAUUGGGGUUAAUUCAUUCUCCCCAUUCAUCAAAAUUUUUUCCUAAGCGCACAAAAUUACAGCCCAGUUCAUUUGCUCAGUGAAAUUGGCUGGAGCUUAUCGCUGUGAACAGAAAAAGGUUGUCUUGGAAAAUGUCAGUGACAUCCCUCUCUACCACAGACAUAUACUAGGACUCCCAAUCGUCCUAGAAGAAUACGUAGGGAUUCUUCAGAGCCAAAGAGUACUUCGAAGAGGAUCGAUUUUAAUGAUCCAUCAAUAGUUUAGGAUGUGAUAGAGACAUUUUUGGAUUCAAACAUGGCUAUCUAGAAUGUAUAUUUUGUAUAUAUUUCGAGAUGGCAUAUGCCAUAUUUUGUAAAACUUUGUUUGAGUUGGCAUUUAUGUCA